rnacentral:lncRNA from 1 species
ACGGGUUAUGUUCUUCUCAUGUAUGUUAUGAUGGUAUGAUACUAAACCCCUAACGGGAAGGAUUGUGCCUGGUGUUCAUAUGAUGAAAUCAUAAUCUUUCAGUCAGUUUAAUUGAAGUCUGGAGCUGGCAUGUCAGUUAACUGCUAGUAGUCUGUUGUUAUUUAUGUAUUAUUGUCAUUUUGUUUAUUUUCUUUGGUUACAUCUUCUGACAUCAGACUCGGACUUCUCUUGGACUGAAUUUUAAUGUGCGUAUUGUUAUGCGUUUACUUUUCUACAUUGGCUAGAGGUAUAGGGGGAGGGUUGAGAUCUCAGAAACAUGUUUAACCCCGCCGCAUUUUUGCGCCUGUCCCAAGUCAGGAGCCUCUGGCCUUUGUUAGUCUUGUAUUAUUUUAAUUUUAGUUUCUUGUGUACAAUUUGGAAAUUAGUAUGGCGUUCAUUAUCACUGAACUAGUAUAUAUUUGUUUAGG